rnacentral:tRNA from 1 species
GGAGAGAUGGCCGAGCGGUCGAAGGCGCACGCCUGGAAAGUGUGUAUACGGCACAACCGUAUCGAGGGUUCGAAUCCCUCUCUCUCCGCCA